CAUAGAGUUAACAUUGACCGCUGUGGCGGCAACUUUUAGCAUUAUGACGUGACCUGCAGCUGAAAGCAAUCAACUACUCAACAUAGUACCACUGGAGCUGUGGAUUUUCUGAACGUCUUUGCCUGCUGUGCUGUGGUAACUUUAUUUGCUCGUAAAACUCUCCUUCUGAGGCACAUUUCACUAAUUACAGACAAGGUUCCAGACCAGACCAGACCAAACCAGUGGUGAUGACCGUGUAUUACAUUUAUGAUAGGAAAGUGAGCAGGAAAGAUGGCAUUCCUGGAAGGUGUAGAAAUGAAGACGCUUCCAACGCUUGAGUCUGAGAUUUUUUCUUGUCACAACUGGUACUAACUCACCAACGACAGACACAUCUGUCUCCUGCCGUGACGAGGCCCCAGUGAUGGAGUUCUGUGCCGCGCAGACAUAUUGGCCACUCGAAUCGGCCGAGGAGAUCUGCAGAGUGAGCGACCCCGUGCUUGACUGGC